CAUGCUGCCAGCGCUCUGCUCUCUCUUCACUGCUCUCUCAUGUGUCAGUGGUGUGAUUGUGGUGACGCAGAAGCCUCCUGUUCUCACACUGACUCAAGGACAGACGGCCACCAUGGACUGUAACCUGGGGACUGUUACUGAUCAAGGUGCACGCUGGUACAAACAGGUUCCUGGAGGAGUUCCUCAGCAUGUGAUAAGACAUUAUCAUGAAUGGAGUUCUCCUAAAUAUGGAUCUGGUUUCUCAUCACCUAAAUUCACAUCAACACACUCCUCUAAAUCAGAUUAUAAACUGAUUAUCAGUAAUGUGGAGGUGGGAGACUCAGCAGUGUAUUACUGUAAGACAUGGGACAGCUCUGCUAAAGAUGAUGCUGCCUGACAGAUCCCAUCUAUGGCCAUAAACUGACAAAGAAAAUCCAGAGAUGUUUGAAGAGACUUAGACAACACCAGGACUCCUGGCCACACUGGAAAAGCAAGAGCCAUUUGAACACUGUAUAGUUUUUGAAAUGAACUAUUUUAAAUUACAAAUCUACCAGCGAUGUGGAUAACCAAACAUACCCCUCACACACACGCUUUACCCUAAUGCCAUGUGGAAAAAGGUACCAAAACCUUCCUGCCACACAACGAAGCUACUUUCUACAAACCAUCAGAUUCUACAAUAAUAAACAUCUGGACUGACACGUCUGACAUCUGUAAGUCAUGCUUGACUACGCCCGGCUGCCACAUCACACAUGGAUGAAUAAUGAUCCCACUCAUGUUACUCAUUGUACUUGAGCAAUUCCUGGGGAGUCAGUACACCAGAGACAUGAUUGGACUGCCUGCUUCACGUCUGAAAAGUUGGCCUCCCGGGAACUCCUUUAACGGCCCAAACAUGGGAAAUGGCUUGGAAUAAGGUGCAAGGACUGUGACAAUAACUUCCAGCCGAGUUCCUGUAAUGUGCAAUGGUGAAUGAUUGUAUGUACAGUUCCCGCAGACAGAUCCAUCUCUUCUGCAAGUUGGUGACAAGUUAUCUGUAAAUGUGAAUCACUUCUACACAUUAGUAAAAUUUGGAGUAAGAUAUCUAUGUAAUACUGUAUAAUCAUUAUAUUCAUUAAAGCUUCACC